rnacentral:misc_RNA from 1 species
GUGAAUCAUCAAAUCUUUGAACGCAAAUUGCACUCUCGUCGGAGAGUAGGCCUGUUUGAGGGUCAGCAUAAAAAAAAUCGACAUAGUUGCUGUUACGCGGUAACAUUCGACGGAAAGUGGGUCAUAUUAAACCGGUGGGGUGAAGCGGCUUGAAAUUUUGUUUACGAGUGCAAGAACGUUUGUAAGAUUUUAUUUUCUUAUACGUUUAAGGUAUCGAUCUGUAU